UACAGAGGGGGCAAGCGUUGUUCGGAAUUACUGGGCGUAAAGGGCGCGUAGGCGGCCUUCUAAGUCGGACGUGAAAUCCCCAGGCUUAACUUGGGAACUGCGUCUGAUACUGGGAGGCUUGAGUGCGGGAGAGGGAUGUGGAAUUCCAGGUGUAGCGGUGAAAUGCGUAGAGAUGUGGAGGAACACCGAUGGCGAAGGCAGCCUUCUGGGCCAAUACUGACGCUGAGGAGCGAAAGCGUGGGGAGCGAACAGG
rnacentral:rRNA from 1 species